CCUACGGGUGGCAGCAGUCGAGAAUCAUUCACAAUGGGGGAAACCCUGAUGGUGCGACGCCGCGUGGGGGAAUGAAGGUCUUCGGAUUGUAAACCCCUGUCAUGUGGGAGCAAAUUAAAAAGAUAGUACCACAAGAGGAAGAGACGGCUAACUCUGUGCCAGCAGCCGCGGUAAUACAGAGGUCUCAAGCGUUGUUCGGAAUCACUGGGCGUAAAGCGUGCGUAGGCUGUUUCUUAAGUCGUGUGUGAAAGGCGCGGGCUCAACCCGCGGACGGCACAUGAUACUGCGAGACUAGAGUAGUGGAGGGGGAACCGGAAUUCUCGGUGUAGCAGUGAAAUGCGUAGAUAUCGAGAGGAACACUCGUGGCGAAGGCGGGUUCCUGGACAUUAACUGACGCUGAGGCACGAAGGCCAGGGGAGCGAAAGGGAUUAGAUACCCUUGUAGUC
rnacentral:rRNA from 1 species